rnacentral:lncRNA from 1 species
AUAAGAAAAAAAUUCUCAAUAAAUUUGUGAUUAGCUCAAUCUCUUUCCAACUUUUCUAUGUACUAAAAAACAAGACUUAGAAUAAUAGCUCUACAAAUAUUGGCCCAAAAAUAGUUACUCCAACUAUUAUGGGUGUAAAUUGAUAUGAAGUGCAUUCAGCUUUGUCACUCACAUGUUAUGCCAUCUUAAAGUGGUUAUUUAUUCUUUUCUUGUGGCACAAUAGUGUAAUGAUCCUUUGGUUCUUUGUGAUUCAUGACCUUGACACAAAUCCAAACUAAAUUCUAAUAUUUCUUAGUCAAAUCUUAAUCAAAUCUUAAGUAAAUCCAAGUAAUCUUAAUGAAAUUUUAAUUAAAUUUUAACAUAUUUUAAUCAAAUCCUAAUCAAUCCUAAGUAAUCCUAAGAUAUCCUAAAAAUCCUAAUCAAAUCUUUAUCAAUCCUAACCAAACCCUAAUUAGGACCAAUGAAAUUCUAUAAUAAAUACGAAACUUUAAUAACUAAUAAAUUAACCUUGUCGAUGUCCUGCAAUUCAGGAGGAUUGGGUUUAAUAAGCCCUACAUCGACCAGAGCAAUAGUCAGU